UCUUGAUGCUUACCCCACUAAAGCAUCCGCCCGAGAACUACGAGCACAAACGCUUAAAACUCUAAGGACUUGGCGGUGCCCCAAACCCACCUAGAGGAGCCUGUUCUAUAAUCGACAACCCACGAUACACCCGACCACUUCUUGCUAAAACAGCCUACAUACCGCCGUCGCCAGCCCACCUCCCCUGAGAGCAUAGCAGUGAGCGUAAUUGCCCUAACCCCGCUAACAAGACAGGUCAAGGUAUAGCCCAUGAAGUGGAAGAAAUGGGCUACAUUUUCUAACCUAGAAAACCCUUAAAUUCCAACGAAAGGGAGUAUGAAAUACCUCCCAGAAGGCGGAUUUAGCAGUAAAGCGGGAUAAUAGAGCCCCCUUUAAACRGGCCCUGAGGCACGUACAUACCGCCCGUCACCCUCCUCAAAAGCUUCCUUCCUUUAAUAAAUAAUACACCCACCCGCCAAAGACGAGGUAAGUCGUAACAAGGUAAGUGUACCGGAAGGU
rnacentral:rRNA from 1 species